UCUCCCCUUGGACUGCUCACAAUCUACUGUAAAGUCCUGCAAUUGGAACUAGUUCCCAGAAAUCCUUCAGUAGUUUUCUUAAAAUUGAAUACUUCAUGAUCAUAGAUUUAGAGCACAGGAAAGGAUGAAGAGAGGCGAACAGUCUUACAUCAACUCCACAAAUUCCAAGCUGUUGCGGAGACGAUCCAAUGUCUGAUUUCUCUACAACCAGUCGACGCUAUCCACAUUCUUGACGCUGACAAGACUAACAUUUGGACUCCUGUGCUCCCCUCGUUGUCAGCUUCAAGCAAGAAGGGGUAUUGAACUACACACAUCUGUAUGUAAUUUGACAGGAUGUCAUGUCCAUACGUCACUAAACCUUUUUGUGUGCAGGCAAACUUUCAUAUGUACACUUUUAUAUUUCAAUUUCCUAUUUGAGAUGGAAUGGAACACCUGGUUUCCUUUGGUGCGGGGACCUCUUUCUUGUUCUGCCAGCUUCAUUGUUGCUUCAAUACAAGCCUCACAUUGUAAUGAGCAAGUCAUCAACAUCGAACUUCUUUUAAUGGAAUCAAAUAAGGGUCUUACACAGAUGUCAAUUCAAGCAGUGCAGUGAUCAUAUUGACAUACAGCAUAUGCCGUGUUUUUCCUGUGUAUGUGCACCAUAAUUUAGCAAAUAUUGUUCGUUGUCUCUCCAUCCAUUGGACCGGAUGUAAAUGUGCUUCUGCCUCCAACUCCAUAUGUCGUUCCUGUGAUGAGAGGAUAAAGACUUUGUUUAAUUUAAUAAAUGCAUCAGAGGACAAAUUUGCCAAUAUCACUUCCAUCUCACUCUCAGUGUCCAUCCCAAAGCAGUUGUGCUAAAGCCAAUGAGAGGACACGGGUUACUUUGGUGUCUGUGAAUUCUUUAUACUCAGCAAAAGACGAUGCUUGAACUCCAGUCUGUUGGUCCUGGUCCAUUACUUGUAGAAAACUUUCCGGAGAAUUAAUUGUUAGCAGACAGUUACAAAUGGGGAAAAGCUGCUCUGGUCCCAAUGAGUUUAUGACUAUGAUUUUCAGUCCAUCGGAAUGCUCUAGAUCAUUUGAUGCUCUUCAGGAUAAUAUACAAUCAGUGGUGUCCCAGGCUUUAUUAUGCUGUUGUGUA